rnacentral:rRNA from 2 species
UGAGGAAUAUUGGUCAAUGGGCGCUAGCCUGAACCAGCCAAGUAGCGUGCAGGAUGACGGCCCUAUGGGUUGUAAACUGCUUUUAUGCGGGGAUAAAGUCACCCACGUGUGGGUGUUUGCAGGUACCGCAUGAAUAAGGACCGGCUAAUUCCGUGCCAGCAGCCGCGGUAAUACGGAAGGUCCGGGCGUUAUCCGGAUUUAUUGGGUUUAAAGGGAGUGUAGGCGGCCUGUUAAGCGUGUUGUGAAAUGUAGAUGCUCAACAUCUGAACUGCAGCGCGAACUGGCUGGCUUGAGUACACGCAACGUGGGCGGAAUUCAUGGUGUAGCGGUGAAAUGCUUAGAUAUCAUGAGGAACUCCUAUUGCGAAGGCAGCUCACGGGAGUGUCACUGACGCUUAAGCUCGAAGGUGCGGGUAUCAAACAGG